GGGUUGUGAGGUUAAGCGAAUAAGCGUACACGGUGGAUGCCUAGGCAAUCAGAGGCGAUGAAGGACGUGCUAAUCUGCGAUAAGCGUCGGUAAGGUGAUAUGAACCGUUAUACCCGACGAUUUCCGAAUGGGGAAACCCAAUAUCCAAUGGAUAUUAUCAUGACGUGAAUACAUAGCGUCAUGAAGCGAACCGGGAGAACUGAAACAUCUCAGUACCCCGAGGAAAAGAAAUCAACCGAGAUUCCCCUAGUAGCGGCGAGCGAACGGGGAACAGCCCAGAGUCUUAAUCAAUAGCAGCAUCAGGAGAACGGUCUGGAAAGUCCGGCAGUAAAGGGUGAUAGCCCCGUAUCUGAAGAUGCUGUUAUUGUGAACUCGACGAGUAGGGCGGGACACGUGUUAUCCUGUCUGAAUAUGGGGGGACCAUCCUCCAAGGCUAAAUACUCCUGAUUGACCGAUAGUGAACCAGUACCGUGAGGGAAAGGCGAAAAGAACCCCGGCGAGGGGAGUGAAAAAGAACCUGAAACCGUGUACGUACAAGCAGUAGGAGCCCCACCACUAAGCUAGUGGUGAACUCACAGCGAUUCUUUUGCAUGAUAAUGUGCGGUAGACGGAGCGAAAGCGACGUCCAACCAACAAAAUCAAGCAGAGGAGGCUUAGUGGUGGGGUGACUGCGUACCUUUUGUAUAAUGGGUCAGCGACUUAUAUUCUGUAGCAAGGUUAACCGUAUAGGGGAGCCGUAGGGAAACCGAGUCUUAACUGGGCGAAUGAGUUGCAGGGUAUAGACCCGAAACCCGGUGAUCUAUCCAUGGGCAGGUUGAAGGUUGGGUAACACUAACUGGAGGACCGAACCGACUAAUGUUGAAAAAUUAGCGGAUGACUUGUGGAUGGGGGUGAAAGGCCAAUCAAACCGGGAGAUAGCUGGUUCUCCCCGAAAGCUAUUUAGGUAGCGCCUCGUGAACUCAUCUUCGGGGGUAGAGCACUGUUUCGACUAGGGGGUCAUCCCGACUUACCAACUCGAUGCAAACUGCGAAUACCGAAGAAUGUUAUCACGGGAGACACACGGCGGGUGCUAACGUCCGUCGUGAAGAGGGAAACAACCCAGACCGCCAGCUAAGGUCCCAAAGUCAUGGUUAAGUGGGAAACGAAGUGGGAAGGCUCAGACAGCCAGGAUGUUGGCUUAGAAGCAGCCAUCAUUUAAAGAAAGCGUAAUAGCUCACUGGUCGAGUCGGCCCGCGCGGAAGAUGUAACGGGGCUAAACCAUGCACCGAAGCUGCGGCAGCGACACUAUGUGUUGUUGGGUAGGGGAGCGUUCUGUAAGCCUGCGAAGGUGUGCUGUGAGGUAUGCUGGAGGUAUCAGAAGUGCGAAUGCUGACAUAAGUAACGAUAAUGCGGGUGAAAAACCCGCACGCCGGAAGACCAAGGGUUCCUGUCCAACGUUAAUCGGGGCAGGGUGAGUCGACCCCUAAGGCGAGGCUGAAAAGCGUAGUCGAUGGGAAACGGGUUAAUAUUCCCGUACUGGUGGUAACUGCGAUGGGGGAACGGAGAAGGCUAGGUUGUCCGGGCGACGGUCGUCCCGGUUCAAGCAUGUAGGCAGAGUGAUUAGGCAAAUCCGGUCACUUAAUGCUGAGGUGUGAUGACGAGCCACUAAGGUGGUGAAGCAAUUGAUGCCCUGCUUCCAGGAAAAGCCUCUAAGCUUCAGGUUACCAACAAUCGUACCCCAAACCGACACAGGUGGUCAGGUAGAGAAUACUCAGGCGCUUGAGAGAACUCGGGUGAAGGAACUAGGCAAAAUGGUGCCGUAACUUCGGGAGAAGGCACGCUGGCGGUAAGUGAAGUCCCUUGCGGACGGAGCCGAAGCCAGUCGAAGAUACCAGCUGGCUGCAACUGUUUAUUAAAAACACAGCACUGUGCAAACACGAAAGUGGACGUAUACGGUGUGACGCCUGCCCGGUGCUGGAAGGUUAAUUGAUGGGGUUAUCCGUAAGGAGAAGCUCUUGAUCGAAGCCCCAGUAAACGGCGGCCGUAACUAUAACGGUCCUAAGGUAGCGAAAUUCCUUGUCGGGUAAGUUCCGACCUGCACGAAUGGCGUAAUGAUGGCCAGGCUGUCUCCACCCGAGACUCAGUGAAAUUGAACUCGCUGUGAAGAUGCAGUGUACCCGCGGCAAGACGGAAAGACCCCGUGAACCUUUACUAUAGCUUGACACUGAACAUUGAGCCUUGAUGUGUAGGAUAGGUGGGAGACUAUGAAGUGUGGACGCCAGUCUGCAUGGAGUCAACCUUGAAAUACCACCCUUUAACGUUUGAUGUUCUAACCUAGGUCCAUAAUCUGGAUCGGGGACCGUGUCUGGUGGGUAGUUUGACUGGGGCGGUCUCCUCCUAAAGAGUAACGGAGGAGCACGAAGGUUGGCUAAGCAUGGUCGGACAUCAUGCGGUUAGUGCAAAGGCAUAAGCCAGCUUGACUGUGAGAGUGACGGCUCGAGCAGGUACGAAAGUAGGUCUUAGUGAUCCGGUGGUUCUGAAUGGAAGGGCCAUCGCUCAACGGAUAAAAGGUACUCCGGGGAUAACAGGCUGAUACCGCCCAAGAGUUCAUAUCGACGGCGGUGUUUGGCACCUCGAUGUCGGCUCAUCACAUCCUGGGGCUGAAGUAGGUCCCAAGGGUAUGGCUGUUCGCCAUUUAAAGUGGUACGCGAGCUGGGUUUAGAACGUCGUGAGACAGUUCGGUCCCUAUCUGCCGUGGGCGUUGGAAGAUUGAGAGGGGUUGCUCCUAGUACGAGAGGACCGGAGUGAACGCACCACUGGUGUUCGGGUUGUCAUGCCAAUGGCAUUGCCCGGUAGCUAAGUGCGGAAGAGAUAACCGCUGAAAGCAUCUAAGCGGGAAACUUGCCUCGAGAUGAGUCUUCCCUGUCACCUUGAGUGACCUAAAGGAACGUUUAAGACUAAGACGUUGAUAGGCUGGGUGUGUAAGCGUAGCGAUACGUUGAGCUAACCAGUACUAAUGAACCGUGAGGCUUAACCUGACAACACCGAAGGUGUUU
rnacentral:rRNA from 1 species